rnacentral:rRNA from 1 species
AUUGAACGCUGGCGGCGUGCCUAACACAUGCAAGUCGAGCGGUAACAGGUGUAGCAAUACAUGCUGACGAGCGGCGAACGGGUGAGUAAUGCUUCGGAAUCUACCCAAUGGUGGGGAAUAACCAGCCGAAAGGUUGGCUAAUACCGCAUACGUCCCACGGGAGAAAGCAGGGGAUCGCAAGACCUUGCGCCAAUGGAUGAGCCGAAGUCGGAUUAGCUAGUUGGAGGGUAACGGCCUACCAAGGCGACGAUCCGUAGCUGGUCUGAGAGGACGACCAGCCACACUGGGACU